rnacentral:lncRNA from 1 species
AAAUUCCACACCAAGAUUUCCUGGUGCCCGCCACUGGUGCAAACAUUACCUAGUGAUGUCUGCACAAGUGUCAGAGAGGUGGAGAAAUCCUUCAAAUCUGUUAAAUGUGGAAUAAAGAGGAGAAUAACUUGAAUUAAAUUUCUGUCCCCACUUGAAAUAGACUCUGACUGUGCCUCUGUACCUGGCCCUGAUUUUUGCAUGAAAAUA